CAAUUCCCCUCUACCAUGGACUGGGUUUCCUUCUACCUCUUGCCCUUUAUUAUCUCUACAGGUUUCUGUGCUCUGCCUGUGCUGACUCAGCCUCCAUCAGCAAAUGCCUCCCUGGAAGCCUCAGUCAAGCUUACAUGCACUCUGAGCAGGGAGCACAGCAAUUACUAUGUUCUUUGGUAUCAACAGGAACCAGGGAAGGCCCCUCGGUAUUUGAUGAAGGUUAAUAGUGACGGAAGUUACAGCAAGGGGGAUGGGAUCCCCAAUCGCUUCUCAGGCUCCAGCUCUGGGGCUGACCGCUAUUUAACCAUCUCCGACAUCCAGUCUGAGGAUGAAGCUGAGUAUUACUGCGGUCAGCCCACGUCCGCACCCUCGGUCACGCUCUUCCCGCCCUCCUCUGAGGAACUCGCCGCCAGCAAGGCCACCCUGGUGUGCCUCAUCAGUGACUUCUACCCCAGCGGCGUGGCGGUGGCCUGGAAGGCAGACGGCAGCCCCGUCACCCAGGGCGUGGAGACCACCAAGCCCUCCAAACAGAGCAACAACAAGUACGCGGCCAGCAGCUACCUGAGCCUGUCGCCUGACAAGUGGCAAUCUCACAGCAGCUUCAGCUGCCUGGUCACGCACGAGGGCAACACCGUGGAGAAGAAGGUGGUCCCCUCACAGUGCUCUUAGGUCCCUGAGACUUCCAGGGAUGGGGGCCUUCCUCUCCCAGAUACCCCUUUCCCAGCUCACCAUGUCCCCCUGAGUCCCCACCCAGGUUCUGCUCAGAGCAGGCAGGUCACAAUGCCAUCCCUGUUUAUUAUUUGCUCAAUAAAGAUCUCAUCAUUUAUCAUCUGA